CAUGUCACAGUUGGUUGUAUAGUGUAACGGUGUCACUGGCUUGAAUCCAAUCCUGAGCCAGUCAGUCUACAUCUGUAAAGCAUAGAAAUAACUUCAAAACGUGAUUGCGUUAUUUCUUAAGCUAUUUUAGGGACUCGAUUAGACAAAAUGUACCGUUUGGUGCCAGACAGAUCCCCUGGUUAUGAAUGGAAUGCCGGGACUUACCAGAACUAGCAAAGGUGGGUAUCAUAACAUGUCAAGCAAUGUGAUUGCUAUGGUUUAGCGACCUCUAAAAAUAAUUUCAUUCACUGGUCGCUUGCUAUUUUCGCAGCUUGUCAGGCAGGAUCUCAGAGUAAAAGUGUGUCAUGCAACACAAAUACCCUUGUGGCACCUCCUCCGUUGAUGUCAGAGUCUCCCUCGACUCCUAUGAAAAGGACAUCAUGAAGCCUCACAUAGUGACCAGAGUUACUGCCCUGACGACAGAUGGCUUUGUCAACAACGACAGGCCCUCCCAGCCAACACCACCUCAUCAGAUUGCCUGUUGCAGUUGUUGGAGAGAUGUACAGAGGGCAGCAGAACAUGCAGCAUAGUGAAGACUUGACUUCACUGUGAGCAUAACUAUAAAUGGAUCAGUCAGCCACCUGUUGGCAAGUAUCUGGUUAGACAAACCUGUCAUCGACAACAGCUUUCACAGGCUCAUCAUUUUGUACAAAUACAGAAGAUGCAUAUAAUGUCCAGGUCAUUACCUAACCAGGUGGAACCAACCUGAGGCCUGUGUUCACCAUAUAAUGUCCAGGUCAUUACCUAACCAGGUGGAACCAACCUGAGGUCUGUGUUCACCAUAUAAUGUCCAGGUCAUAACCUAACCAGGUGGAACCGGCCUCAGCCUGAAGUGAAAUAGAAAGGUGAUGUUAGGAAUUUUAUGAAUAAUGACUAAACAAUGUGUACAUUUAAAUAGAACUAUAACUAAUUAAACUCUACCCUGUUUUACAACAUCUGAUUAAUGUUAGUUCAUAAGAAAGAGGUUAUGUAGCAUGGACAAGGGGUAAUUGGAAAUGAUAACCAUUGUGGAAGAAGGAAUGUCUGUGUGUGUGUCUAAAGUAAGCAAAGAGGGUCAUUAACCUAUGUUUGAACCAACUCGGCUAUAACUCUGUGGAUAUAAAAUUAGACAGCGAGAGCCCCUCCAGGUUUUCCGUAUCUGGGGGGGACUGGAACUGUCUGCUAAGUGGUAAUAAACUAUGGUGAGACUUCAGGAGUUAAUCCAGAUAUAGUGUGUCAUGUAUGUGCGCUAGUGAGUUGGAAUUAACUUUUGAAGCUGCUUUGUCCUGGUCGGAGAGGAGGAAGGACAUUUUAAAACCUAUGACAUCAUAUGUAAUAUAUAAACUGAUGUACAUGUUACUAUGAUCAGCGCUCUCGAGAAUAAAUGCUAUUGGCAAAUCUUGAUAGACUGGUCUCUGUCUAUUUUAUGCAAAUGAGGAUCUUACAAAUUCUUAGAAACAGACAGAGUGAUUUAAAUUGAAUUGGUUAAUGAAUAUAUAUAUAUAUAGGAAUUGUUAAAUUCCUUUGACAGGUGAACACAGCGAUCAGGUUGGUUUCACCAGGCUAAUCAUAACCACCAUUGAUAAUGCAAUCAGUGCUCUGUGUGUGUGACCAACCAGUAUCUUAGAUGAGGGGCCAGAAGCUGAUCUAUGCUGCUAUUCUCAUCAAUGGGACUCUGGCAAAGACCUCACCUCCAGCCUGCUCACUGAUGGUCGUCGAUGACAACAGAAUUAGAUGGACUAGAGAUGGUUUUGCCAGCCGGCGUCCUCAGUCACUUGAUGGGUAGUCCAUAAUAGGAAACAUGUAUAGAGCCAGCACAUGGAGACAGACGGGCUUGAUACUGAUGUCUCUGAAUGGAGAGAGACCUGGUACUCAGCAUUAAAAUUUUACUAGACACAGA